rnacentral:lncRNA from 1 species
UUUAUAUGUAAUAAAAUAUUUUGAAUUUAUAGAUCUCUCUUGUAAUUUAUAAACUCUCGUAUCUUUAUGAGCACCUUCUCAUUUCUGAAUAGAUUUAUAAAUUAUGUAAUAUAAGAUAAAAUAAUAAUUUAUAUAAAUGUCACACUCUAGAACCUAAAAAGUCCAGUAACAACAGCACUUUAAUGGAUAACUAACGUUUUCGACCGUACACCGGUCUUCCUCAAGUUUUUAAACCAGUACGAUUCGAACGUGGAAUGCAAAGAACAAUAUUUACAAAUUAUUUUUAAAAACCCAUGGAACGUAUAGAACACAUGUUCAAAAAUUAUUUUAAAAUCUACGGAACUAUCUAAGCGCGUAUAGACAACUUUUAUCCAUAUAUGUUACCAUGGCGAUAGAAAUAUAUCUAUACCAUAAACAGUGAGUAACAAGAUAUAAAUAAUGGUAUAGACAAAGGUUGCUAACUGCUGGUGUCGCCCGUUUUUUCAUAAUGGUACAGUACCUCCAAGUGUUGUUGUUACUAGACUUCUAAGGUUCUAGAAUGUAAUUUAUACGUUCCAGUAAUUCUUACAAGAACUGUGUUAACAAUGGGUUAGACAAGGAUGGAACUUUAUUCAUAAAUUGAUAAUAGUUUGAAUAUUGAAAUAUAGCAAAAUUGUCGAAUGUAGCAGCUAUAUUUACAGAAAAUUAUGAUAGUAAAAGUAUGAAAAGUUGUAUGUUAAAUAUAAUAAAUAACAUUUAUUCGAAUGCCAAAGAAAUACGUGAGGUGAGUCUAAUGGAAGCCAUGAAAAAUAAACUACGAAUGUCCAUAAAUGGUGAUUUAGAAGGAGAAUGCAGCAGGUUAUACACGCCAGCUUCUCACAGCAUCGUAGCGGAUGGAGUUGUAGAUGUUCAACACUUAUCAGCACGUUCAGAAGUGAGAAGGCGUUCAAAAUGAGCUUUUUAUAGAUUAAAAAAGAAGAAUAAACUCGAUCGGAAAAAAUGAAUUCUUAAAAAAAUAUAUAUAAUUUACGUAUUUCCGAAUCAUUUAAAUUUUAGUCAACAAACAGUUGUAGUUUUGCAGAUUUUAGAAGAAAAAAUAAAUAAAUAAAACAGGAGAAGAGAGCUUUCCACGUUUAUCUUCAGAAAGUCAAAAUUACUAAUAAGAUAUUGGUGCUAAAAUUUUAAUUAUUAAACAGUGCAAAAGCAUAUCUAUUAUAUAUUGUAUCACGUAUACUAAUGUCAAAAGUUCUUCUGACAACCCGACUGCUUCUCCAUUAAGUCUUUAUCUCCUUUUUGAAUCAUUGUAAAGAAGACAUUGUUUUGUACAAAAAAAUGGAUUAUGAUAGAUUAGAAAAUAGCAUCAAAAUCUUAUCCAGUUGGAAACAGAAUCUGUUAUUUGUUAACAAAAAAAAAAGAAAAAAACGUUAUGAGAUUUAUUCUACAAUUUAGAAUAUUUCGCAGAUUUCUGUAGAUGAAGAAUAUUUCCUUGUAAUAAAAUUUAAAUGAUCUUUUUUCUUAUAUUUGCAAAAUUAAUUUUACAAUUCGAAUAUAUUAAUAAAUACCGUCAAAUUGUCAUAUAUGGAAAUAAUAUUAUAAACGAUAGAAAUGAAUUCGUUUACAAAUGAAUUUAUUUAUUCUUAAAUAAUUCUUUAUUUUAUAUUUACAAGUGAUUACAUUUGUAUUUUUUUUUGUUUUGUUGAAAACAAAAAUCCUGGAUAAGAGUACACGAUAUUCCAUUUUCCGAAUCACUGAGUUGCAACAUUCUUCUUUCAUACUUUCUCUUUGAAAUUUUCUUUUAAUUUUAUCUCAUAUUUUUCAAAAAUAUUCGCAUUUGUUAUUAUUAAGAGCAAACUUGUAUUUUACGUGAAUUAAUUUCGAAUUUAAUUUUUUUUAUUUGCUUCUUUUUAUUCAACAACAAACCAAAUUAAAGCAUUUAUGACUCUGUUAUAUAUAUAUAUAUUUU